rnacentral:rRNA from 1 species
GAUGAACGCUGGCGGCGUGCCUAAUACAUGCAAGUCGAGCGAACAGAUGAGGAGCUUGCUCCUCUGACGUUAGCGGCGCACGGGUGAGUAACACGUGGAUAACCUACCUAUAUGACUGGGAUAACUUCGGGAAACCGGAUCUAACACCGGAUAAUAUACUGAUCCGCAUGGUUCAAUAGUGAAAGACGGUUUUGCUGUCACUUAUAGAUGGAUCUGCGCUGCUUUAGCUAGUUGGUAAGGUAACGGCUUACCAAGGCAACGAUGCGUAGCCGACCUGAGAGGGGGAUCGGCCACACUGGAACUGAGACACGGUCCAGACUCCUACGGGAGGCAGCAGUAGGGAAUCUUCCGCAGUGGGCGAAAGCCUGACGGAGCAACGCCGCGUGAGUGAUGAAGGUCUUCGGAUCGUAAAACUCUGUUAUUAGGGAAGAACAAAUGUGUAAGUAACUAUGCACGUCUUGACGGUACCUAAUCAGAAAGCCACGGCUAACUACGUG